rnacentral:rRNA from 1 species
UACGAGGGGGGCAAGCGUUGUUCGGAAUUACUGGGCGUAAAGGGCGCGUAGGCGGCCUGUUAAGUCGAACGUGAAAUCCCCGGGCUCAACCCGGGAACUGCGUCCGAUACUGGCAGGCUUGAAUCCGGGAGAGGGAUGCGGAAUUCCAGGUGUAGCGGUGAAAUGCGUAGAUAUCUGGAGGAACACCGGUGGCGAAGGCGGCAUCCUGGACCGGCAUUGACGCUGAGGCGCGAAAGCCAGGGGAGCAAACGGG